GGUGGAGCAUGUGGUUCAAUUCGACGCAACGCGAAGAACCUUACCUGGGCUCGAAAUGCAGGAGACCGGGGUAGAAAUAUCCCUUUCUCGCAAGAGACUGCUGUAUAGGUGCUGCAUGGCUGUCGUCAGCUCGUGUCGUGAGAUGUUGGGUUAAGUCCCGCAACGAGCGCAACCCUCAUCCCUAGUUGCCACCGGGUAAUGCCGAGCACUCUAGUGAAACCGCCCCGGACAACGGGGAGGAAGGUGGGGAUGACGUCAAGUCCUCAUGGCCUUUAUGUCCAGGGCUACACACGUGCUACAAUGGUCGGUACAAACCGUCGCAAACCUGCGAAGGGGAGCUAAUCGGAAAAAGCCGACCUCAGUUCGGAUUGGAGUCUGCAACCCGACUCCAUGAAGCUGGAAUCGCUAGUAAUCGCAGAUCAGAAUGCUGCGGUGAAUACGUUCCCGGGC
rnacentral:rRNA from 1 species